CCUGGCUCACGUUGAACGCUAGCUACAGGCUUAACACAUGCAAGUCGAGGGGCAGCAUGGUCUUAGCUUGCUAAGGCCGAUGGCGACCGGCGCACGGGUGAGUAACACGUAUCCAACCUGCCGUCUACUCUUGGACAGCCUUCUGAAAGGAAGAUUAAUACAAGAUGGCAUCAUGAGUCCGCAUGUUCACAUGAUUAAAGGUAUUCCGGUAGACGAUGGGGAUGCGUUCCAUUAGAUAGUAGGCGGGGUAACGGCCCACCUAGUCUUCGAUGGAUAGGGGUUCUGAGAGGAAGGUCCCCCACAUUGGAACUGAGACACGGUCCAAACUCCUACGGGAGGCAGCAGUGAGGAAUAUUGGUCAAUGGGCGAGAGCCUGAACCAGCCAAGUAGCGUGAAGGAUGACUGCCCUAUGGGUUGUAAACUUCUUUUAUAAAGGAAUAAAGUCGGGUAUGGAUACCCGUUUGCAUGUACUUUAUGAAUAAGGAUCGGCUAACUCCGUGCCAGCAGCCGCGGUAAUACGGAGGAUCCGAGCGUUAUCCGGAUUUAUUGGGUUUAAAGGGAGCGUAGAUGGAUGUUUAAGUCAGUUGUGAAAGUUUGCGGCUCAACCGUAAAAUUGCAGUUGAUACUGGAUAUCUUGAGUGCAGUUGAGGCAGGCGGAAUUCGUGGUGUAGCGGUGAAAUGCUUAGAUAUCACGAAGAACUCCGAUUGCGAAGGCAGCCUGCUAAGCUGCAACUGACAUUGAGGCUCGAAAGUGUGGGUAUCAAACAGGAUUAGAUACCCUGGUAGUCCACACGGUAAACGAUGAAUACUCGCUGUUUGCGAUAUACUGCAAGCGGCCAAGCGAAAGCGUUAAGUAUUCCACCUGGGGAGUACGCCGGCAACGGUGAAACUCAAAGGAAUUGACGGGGGCCCGCACAAGCGGAGGGACAUGUGGUUUAAUUCGAUGAUACGCGAGGAACCUUACCCGGGCUUAAAUUGCAGAUGAAUUACGGUGAAAGCCGUAAGCCGCAAGGCAUCUGUGAAGGUGCUGCAUGGUUGUCGUCAGCUCGUGCCGUGAGGUGUCGGCUUAAGUGCCAUAACGAGCGCAACCCUUGUUGUCAGUUACUAACAGGUUCCGCUGAGGACUCUGACAAGACUGCCAUCGUAAGAUGUGAGGAAGGUGGGGAUGACGUCAAAUCAGCACGGCCCUUACGUCCGGGGCUACACACGUGUUACAAUGGGGGGUACAGAGGGCCGCUACCACGCGAGUGGAUGCCAAUCCCCAAAACCUCUCUCAGUUCGGACUGGAGUCUGCAACCCGACUCCACGAAGCUGGAUUCGCUAGUAAUCGCGCAUCAGCCACGGCGCGGUGAAUACGUUCCCGGGCCUUGCACACACCGCCCG
rnacentral:rRNA from 1 species